UCUGUGUAUAGCUUUACACGAUCAACCAAUUAUUGGAUCAUUUGUGAAAAGCAGUGCUCUUUCUUUGAUUGCAUAUUUUGCUAAUGUUUUGUAGUUUAGCUUAAUUAAAUUUAAAUUAUGAAAAUUGAUAAAAAAGAACUAUGUCAUACGUUGUUACACAAACCGGACAGUGUGGGAAUCAACUCGGGCAAUGUUUUUUUGAUCUAUUAUCAGAUGUUGUUAAAAACCAAUCUUCCGCAAAUUCUUCUUUUAGUGACGAAACUUUUAAUAGGUUCUUUAUUGAUGCUGAGGAUAAAAUCUUUGCCCGAUCAGUUUUGUUUGACACAGAGCCCAAGGUAAUUGAAGAAAUUUCCAAACCUUUUAAAGGGAGAUCUUGGUUUUACCGUGAUGAUGGUGCUGUCCGUGUUCAUGACUUGGGCUCGGGUAAUAAUUGGGCCAUGGGAUAUCACUGCUACGGACCAACUGCACAGGAUGCUGCUUUGAAUGCUGUACGCAAAGAGAUGGAACGCUGCGAUCAUUUAAUUAGUUUACUCCAACUCUCAUCAGUGGCUGGUGGUACAGGAAGUGGUUUUGGCUCUUAUCUCUCUCAGCUGUUUCGAGAUGAAUUUUCAACAAAAUCCUCAACCAAUAUAAUAAUGUGGCCUUUCCAUAAAUGUGAUGUCACAAUUCAGGCCUAUAACUCCAUCUUAUCUCUCUCUUCAUUUCAAGAGUCUUCGGAUGCUAUAUUUCUCUUUGAGAAUGAUUGGUUGAUGAAACUUUGUCGUCAAAAAUUGAGAAUCAAAUCUUCCUCUCUCCAAGAUUUAAAUAAAGUGGCUUCUCUGCAACUAGCUCAUGUUUUACUUCCUAUUGGGAAUAAUCUCAAUUUCAGUUUCACAUUCAAUGACACCUUAGCUCAUCUCGUUCCACAUCCGCAAUUUAAAUUAGUGGGUUUUCGCUCUGUGCCUCAAGAACCUUCUGCUUCUCUUCCCUUCAGUGCUCAUACUUGGCCUGGAUUAUUGCAAAGUCUGAAAAGAAUGAUUCUUUAUAAUACUGCCAUUGAUGAAGGAAAAGCGUCACCACAAUGAUCACUAAGUCUGAGUGGACGUGCGACACACUCGAGGAUGUCAUUGUCUCCUCCUUACUGCCUCCUUCUUCCAGUUCUGGAUGUUGUUCCGACCGACUAGGACAUCUGAACCAGUAUUGAUUCACAUCACUGUACUUUCCUCCUUUCUUUACAGUCAUCUGUUUAUCAUUGAAUUCCCAAAACUUCCUUCCUUUGAAGAAUUCACCCCCCUGCACCGGCCAAGUGGCAGAACGGUUAGCGUGCCUGACUGCGGGUUCAAAUCCUGCUCAGGGCAGAGAUGUGUCACUCUGUUGUGUGAUUGUAACCCACCCUCUGAACCGGUAUCUGUGGCGUAUGUAAUGUUGCUCGCCUCCAUGACUUGAGCUACAGGAUGCUCACCAGGUAAUGCAAAAUGAGCAACAAUUCCGGCAUCUUCCAUGGCAAAGAACAAUAAAUUCAGUUACUCCCAUUAAAAAAAAAGAAGUUCAUAUUCCGAUUUAUUUAUGCACUUAUUUCUCUGCAUCUACAUAUUGUCAUCACCUGUAACCUCUGAUUUGCAAAAAAAAAAUUUCAUGAACCCAGGAAAA